rnacentral:tRNA from 1 species
GGGCCUGUAGUUUAAAGAAUGCUCGGUUUCGGCCCGAAGGGAGGGUUAAUUAUUGCCCCAGGUCUU